ensembl:lncRNA
UGUAUUUAUGUCCAUCCAUCCAUCCAUAUAUAUAUAUAUAUAGUUAUAUCUACAUAAAUACAUACAUAGGAAAAAUAAAAAUGUCAUUAGCUUUUCAUUAAUAUACUAAAAAUGAAUAACAAUAACAAAAAAAAAGGCUAUUAUAAAAAUGGAAAUAAUAAUUUUUUUAAAUCUCCUAAAAAUGUUCAAAAGGAAAGAAACGUAAAUGAUUUUAUGCUUGAAAAUGAAAUAAACAUAGUGAAUAAAAAUAUGAACGACCGUUACGAAAGUAGCAAUAAUAAUAACAAUAACAAUAGUAUUAAUAGUAGUAAUAAUAAAAACAAGAACAGUAAGAAUUUAAAAAACGACAACACUACUGCUCCUACUAGUGUGUAUCGUAAUAGUAACAAUUUAUACUAUAACAAUACAUACAAUACUAGUAAAAAUAGUAGUAACAAUUAUAGUAGCAAUUAUAACAACACAUACAACAAUAAUAAUAACAAUAAUACAUAUUAUAAUAAUAACAAUAAUAGUAACAAUAACAAUAUUAAUAACAAUAAUAAUAAUAAUAAUAAUAGCAAUAUAUACUUUAGUAAUACAUACUACAAUAACAACAACUACAACAAUAACAACAACUAUAACAAUAACAACAACUAUAACAAUAACAACGCAAACAGCUAUAAUGACAAUACAUCUGUACCGGUAACAAAUUACCCAAAAGUUAAAAGCAAUACAAGUAAAAAUGCAAUAAACAAAAAUCACACAAUAAACUCUAUGACAAAUACAAAAGUAAAUAAUACUGUUACGAAUACAUGUAAACCAGUGUAUGGAAAUAUUAAUAAUUCAAAAAAUAUAAAUCGAAAUAAAGGUUCAGUAGAUAAUAAUAAUAAUAAUAAUAAUAAUAGCAAUAAUUAUUUAAAUGCUUUUGGUAAUAAUAAUUUUAAUAGAACAUCCAUGUAUACAAAUCGUAAUAUAUAUAAUGGUGAAACAAUAGAAAAAAGUGUUCAGAAUGAUUUUGAAACUGUUAGUCAUACAUAUAACAAUACCAGUAAUAAUAUCAGUAAUAAUAUCAGUAAUAAUAUCAGUAAUAAUAUCAGUAUUAAUGAUAGUAAUAAUGACAGUAAUAAUGACAGUAAUAAUAAUUAUAACAAUAACAUGAAUAACGAUAAUAGUAAUAACAGUAGCAGUCGUAAUAGUAGUUAUAAUAAUAAUAGUGGUUAUAAUAAAAAUACAUAUAAAGCUUCAAGUGCUGGUUUUUAUAAUUUACGUUUUAGGGAAACUGCAAACACUAAAAAUCAAAACACGUAUAACAAUGCAUCUUAUACAUUAAAAAACAGUAACAAUAAUGAUAUAAGUAACAAUAAAAAGAUGUAUAAGAGCAAUACGGUGUAUAGUGAUACAGAUAAUGUUUAUAACAACAAUAGUAACAACGACAAUAGUAACAAUAACAAUAGUAACAAUAACAAUUAUAACAAUAACAA